UUCUGAGCAGUUUCUGUGCACAGUUCUGUAAGUGAAAAGAAGAUCACUGUGUGUUGUUCAGCUGCUGUGAGCUACACCAGAGUGAUACCAGGGAAAUCCCAACCACAAGACUGUGAGCUAUUAACUGAGCUUUUUAUCAGUAGUAUUCAUCAUUUGCUUCAGGUGUUCAAUAUGUGCUCUACAUGACCUUCUGUUUUUAGUUUAUGAACCGUACGUGAAGAAUCUUCACUUGCAGUUGUCACACACGUGCGAGUAGGAGACAGCUAAAGGGCCUGAACCUUUCCCGGGAAAUUCUGCAAGG